rnacentral:rRNA from 1 species
GACGAACGCUGGCGGCGUGCCUAACACAUGCAAGUCGAACGGAACUGUUUUGAGAGAUUUCUUCGGAAUGAAUCGGAUUUAGUUUAGUGGCGGACGGGUGAGUAACGCGUGAGUAACCUGCCUUCAAGAGGGGAAUAACAUUCUGAAAAGAAUGCUAAUACCGCAUGACAUAUCGGAACCACAUGGUUUUGAUAUCAAAGAUUUUAUCGCUUGAAGAUGGACUCGCGUCCGAUUAGUUAGUUGGUGAGGUAACGGCUCACCAAGACCGCGAUCGGUAGCCGGACUGAGAGGUUGAACGGCCACAUUGGGACUGAGGCACGGCCCAGGAUCCUACGGGAGGCAGCAGUGGGGGAUAUUGCGCAAUGGGGGCAACCCUGACGCAGCAACGCCGCGUGAAGGAUGAAGGUUUUCGGAUUGUAAACUUCUUUUAUUAAGGUCGAAAAAUGACGGUACUUAAUGAAUAAGCUCCGGCUAACUACGUG